UAUGAGGAAGAGAGAUGAUGGGGAAGG
rnacentral:piRNA from 1 species